CUCAAAGCAUGAAAUAUGAAUAUGGAGAGCAGUAAUGUUUUCCUUGGCAGAUCAGGAAUGCUUAAAAUCAUCUUCCCUGCCUGACUGUCCUUUGAACAUGGCCCUCUGUGCUGUGAAGUUGUUUAUCUCUGUGCUUUGCCCCUGUAACUGUGUCAUUAAUGCCAUUGCUCUCUUUAGAAUUCUGCAUGGUGUGUGGAUCCCUGUGAUAGAAGGCUAAUGAAAAACUAAGGGUAAAAUCCUGAUUUAAAAUAGGUGGCAAUGCAUUCAUCCUGCUAAGCACAGCCUCUCUGGGAAUCACAGGAGAGUCAGUCCUAAAUGAAAUGUUAGGGUGUGUGUGAAGUAAGCUGGCUCCACUGAGUUAUUAACAGAUCCCGCAUAGAAAAUCAUUCACUGACAUCUUUAAGGGACUGGGCCUGAAAAUUUCUGUCCCUUUAUAAACCUCUGGAUCUGAAGGUAACGUUCUGCAGCAUGUUCACAAAAGAAAGAGGAGUCACUGUUGACAGCUCUGUGUAAAUGCCAGCUCCAUGAUCAGUGGAAGCCAGAAAGUCUAACAAAAGGAAAAAGAAUGUCAAGAGCUUUUUUGGCCAUCUUGUUGAGAUGAUGUUCAGCCAGAAAAUAGAGGACAAAAAGACUACUCAAGGCCAUUGAAAACAUAAAAAUCGGGAAAAAAAAAUUAAAUUAGUUGACAAGAGCUGAAGAAGUUUCUGACGAGAAGAUUUAGGUAUCCUCUGAAUGUCUCGUGUAAAAGCAGCGAGGACUAUUGGAAAACCUACCAAGAUAUUUAUGGAGGUUUGUAUAGGAAUUCUCAAAUCUGGGAGAUAAUGACUCAUAUUUAUUUCAACAAAUAUUUUAUUUAUAGAUAGUUUAUAAUUGCAGACUGAGGUUACCAAAGAAAAGGAAUAGGAGGAAAAUGCAGACACUCCUUGCUUUAACAUGAAGAGAAUAAAUGAGUCUUAGUACUGCUCAAUAACAAGAUUAGGACCUAGUGUUCCCUCAAACCCAUCAAUAUUCCAGAACCUUGCCACUUUAUCUACUUUCAAAUUAAACCCAGUAAUGAUUUCUCUAUGAUAACUCUGGUGAUAAAACUGCAGAACUAUAUAUUUAAAUGAAAACAUAAGGUUUUGGUGAAGGCUCUGCUCCAGCAUUUGAAUAAUAAUGAAGUACUUCCCUUUGCAGGGCUCAGUCAUUAGCACAUUCCACUGAGUUUAGGAGAAAGCAAUGCCCUCGUCUGGGCAUGUCCAAGGAAUAUAAGAAUUUCCAAAGCAGAAGGAGAAAGCCAGUAGUUCCGGGGAAGGAAAUUUGAAACUACCUCUUAUUGGAAGCUAUCAAUAAAAAAUGCUUGAAGAAUAGAAGAUGAAGCUGAAGCCACAUUUAAUCAACGCCCCCUCCCCCCCACCCCUAAAAAAAAAAAAAAAAAAGUUGGGGGCUUAAAAAGGAGCAGAAGCUGGCAAAUUCAGACUUCUGUGAGGCAAGUUAAGGACAUAGGAUUUGCAUAGAAUGAGACUGACAAGGCCAUGAAGCAUCUAAUCAGCUUGUCAGCUGCAUCCUGCAGGUUGCUACGACAAAAGAUUUUCUCCAAAAUAUACAGGAUGCCAUGGAGACUGACUGAAAAAAAGCUCUUAAUCCCUGCUUUGCUGGUGCUGACAGGAGAAUAGAUCUCUAGACACAUAGCAUAUUUGGUAAGCAGGAAGCUGGAGACUGAGGUGGUCAAAAGGGUGAAAACUUGCCUGUCUGUGGCAGUCCAGCUUUUCCUCAUAACUAUAUCACAGGAUAUUAAUUUGCCAAACAGGCUAUAAUCCAGCUACAAAAAUCUGGGCUUUGGGGAUUGCUAGUCAUGAAGCACAUGACUUUACAGAAAAGCUGGUGAAUGGUUUUAUGCCAGGAACGGUGCAAAAUAAACUCACUUAGCAACCUGAGAGAAUAUUUACAGUCUACAGAUUUAACUACACAGAUGUAGAGGAAGGUGAGCCCUCCAUCUUCUGUAAUUUGAGACGACUCAAAGAAUGCUUCUUGGAGAGAAUUCCAUUUUAAUUUUUUCCCUGUUUUUUACUUAAUACACUUCUAAUGCCGUACACUUGUGUUGUUCUUACUUGAACAUCAACGAUUUUUAUGUUGGAGUUGUAUGAUAAACUUGCAUUUGAUUGACAUCAAGUUAUGCAGGUCACAGAUCCAUAAUCCAAAACUUACAGCAAUCUUGGCUCAGACAGGUUUAUUAGAUAAAGCGCAGUGUCCCACCUAUUGCUUUUAUUUCUACCUGCUACCAUUCUGGAGUAGUGAAUUUUGGAGAGAUCACAUUAUUUUUCUGUGGAAAUGUAUAUGUUUCUAUUUCAGGAAUUGCUAAUCAGACAAGGAAGGGAAAUUCUCCUUAACAAGUGUCAGGCCCAGUGGAGCUUCUGCCGUGCAUGAUCCAAACUAACUCCAGGAAGAGCAGCUGUCCUUGCUCUCUUCCUGUAGGGAUGAGGAGGCUCCUGUGCUGGGGCCAGCCCUGGUAAGAAAAAGGGAGGAUGUUGCUGGCGUCCUAAGUAGCGGUCUCAUCAAUGCUACAGUGCACUCAGCAGGACCCAAACUGAUGUCUGAUGAUGUCUGUGCUUUGUCGGUGUCCUAAAUGACUCAGGGGACACUGAACUAUUGUGUCACUCAAGCUUGUUCAUAAUUUAGGAUAACUUGGUUCCUACAAUCACAGCAAUAGAGACACAAUUGAAUUAAUCUAUUUAUGCUGCAUAACUUGGCACCUCUGAAACUGUUGCUGAAUGAUUUCGUAUUCCUUGUAGAGAUCCAAUAAAAUCUGUAGAAAAGAGCAAUAAACACUAGCAACAGAUCAUUUCAGUUUUAGUGCAGUAUAUUUCUUUGUGACUGUAAGAAGGAUAACGUGCAUGAAAAAAAUAAAUGACCCUUCUCCUUGACUGCGAAGUGUUGCUGAUUUUUCUUACUGUCCUUCUAAGUAAGAAACUUCAGUUUCUCUUUCAGGAGGGCUAAAUUGAUGGUAAUGUUGACAGACAAAAAGAAAAUCAAUUACAUUUUCAAUGCAGAUAUUAAUUUAGAGGUGGUCUGUGGACUAAUGUUACAAGAAAUUUUACUUUAAAAUUACAUUAUGACUGACUAACAUUAAUCUGUUUCAUUUGUAAGGUAUGCAUACUAAAUAACUGAUAUAAAUAGUUGCUCCUAUUGAAAAAACACUCAACUACCAAUAAAAUUCAAGUAUAAAACCGAUGAGACAGCUUUUUAGGCACCACCCCAAUUACUCCAGGAGUUCACAAAGCAACAUCUGCAGUCAUUAAAUAGUAUCUAUUUACUGUAGAAUUUACUGAUUAGAGCAAUUAAUCUCUUAAAACAUUUGCUUUGACUCCCUUAGAGCACACAUCUCUCUCAGGCUAUUGAAGCAUUUCUCUGGCUGCAUAUUCUAAGUCAAGAAGAUACCCACUGAUUCAGUAGACUUUGGAUUAGUUCCUUGGCUGUUGUUCAAUACAGCAUGGAAAACUUUUCCCUAUCUGUCAUGUGCUAAGUAUGGAAUACGAUCACACAAUCUCUAUGCAGUGUUCAUACUGCUUCUUACAUCUUGAUAGAAUCCAGAGUAACAGACAGCUCAGCUGUGCUACAUAAUGGAAAAGAAUGAAUAAAACAAGUAGAUCAGGGUCUGUACAAUAUAAUGCAGAAGUACCAUUGCAAGGAGCCAGCCAAUGUUACAAAUCCUGUUUCAGUGCUGGGCUUGCAAGACUCAGGCUAUUCUCCAGAAUUCUUGAUUGUGAACUUUAACUCAUGCACAGAUAAAACUUGGAUCCAUUGAGCCUAUUACUCAAAGCUCUGUGGGAAAGUAGGUGUACAUCUGGGUCUGUUCCAGCCCUGGAAGCAGUACAGCUGUAUUAACAAUGUGCUUCGUGUAUCACUAAAUGCCCUGCUGGACUUGAUGUUUUGUAUCCCUAGCACGGAUGAUCAACAGAGCACAUUACCUGCUUAAGGAUAAAUGAGAGUUGGCUGCAUUUGCCAAAUGUGAAUCAGUGUUUCUGUUAGAUGUAGUGUGUAAACUUGAAGUUAUAUACAGUUCUUUUAGACCACCAGUUCCAUAGGAUUCUUAUUAUCUUUUUGAUUGUUAAUAAUAAUAAAAAAAAGAAUGUUGGCAAGAAAAACAACUGUAGGCUAAUCACAUAUCAAAAAAUGUUAUUAAAAAUAAAAUUAUAUCUCAAAGUUUUUAAUAGGUUUUUGCUGUAAUAUAAUUACAUACUAAAAACAAAUUGAAAAUUGGUAUUUUAUCACAGAAUCAUAGAAUAUCUUGGGUUGGAAAGAACCUUAAAGUCUACCUAGUUCCAACCUCUGCUUUGGGCAUGGCUGCCACCCCCCAGCUCAGCUGCCCAGGCCCCAUCUAACUUGGUUUCCAAUACCUCCAGGGAUGGGGCACUCACAAUUUCUCUGGGCAGUUGUGCCAGUGCCUCACCACCCUCUGAGAAAAAAGAAAUCCUGAUGUGUAAUCUAAAUCUCCUACCUUUUAGUUUGAAAACAUUACCCCAAGUGAUGAUUAAAGUAUUGUAUUAAAUGCUUCCUUACAUUGCUAUAAGAGGGCCUGAACCUUGGAGAUUAAAUGGAAGAAAAAGAAAAAGCCAGUGUAAGAUGUAGUAAGUAAGAAUAAGAGUAAAUAUUUGAAAUGUAUUGGAGCAGGUCCGGAGGAGGACCAUGAAGAUGAUCAGAGGGCUGGAACAUCUCCCACAUGAGGACAGCCUGAGAGAGCUGGGGUGCUUCAGUAUGGAGAAGGCUCUGAGGAGACCUUAUAGUGGCCUUCCAGUACCUGAAGUAUGCCUACAGGAAAGCUGGGGAGGGACUUUUUGUAAGAGCUACAGGAUGAGGGGAAAUGGUUUUAAACUGAAAGAGGGUAGAUUUAGAUUAGAUAUUAUGAAGAAAUUCUUAACUGUGAGGGUGGUGAGACACUGGAACAGGUUGCCCAGUGAGGUUGUGAAUGACCCUUCCCUGGACGCAUUCAAGGCCAGGCUGGAUGGGGCUGUGAACAACCUGGUGUAGAGGGACAUAUCCCUGCCUACAGCAGGGGGAUUGGAACUAGGUGAUCUUAAAGGUCCCUUCCAACCCAAACCAUUCUAUGAUUCUAUUCUAUGAAAUUAAUUAGUUAAUAAUAAUAGUUCUGUAUUGUAAUUGAAAGCCUUAAAAAAAAGUAUAUUCUUACAUAUGAUCAAAGUAUAUCACAAAGAAACAGAAAAAAAAAAAAAGCUAAAGAAAGGUCAAUGUCAGUUGAAGUUAUUCAGGACAGUAUAUCAGUGGAUAUAUAUAUCAUGGAUCCAUUUAAUCAUGUUGAUCUGUUGAACUGCAGGUAUGCAGAUUCAAAUAAGAUAAUUCUGAGAUUCAGAAUUAUAUUUACAGUUCAUUUUAAAAUGCUGGCCCAAGGAAAAUUAUUGUUGUCUGGCAAAGUAUCUCUUAGUCUGUUAUUCUGCUUUGUACAAAUGUAUUUAAAACAAAUGUAUGUAUGUCGAAGGACAUUUGAAAGACAGGGAUUUUUAGUAGAAAUUUUGUGUGAGUCUUCUGAAUCUACUCAGAAAUUUAAAAUAUCAGGAGCCUUACAGGAUUUACCUUCCCAAGGAUUGACAAACAGGCUGAUUCGGUAAGAUGAAACAGUAAUUAAGUACUUUCAUAUAUUCAGUUCCAGACGGGUUAGUAACACAUUCCAAGCUGAUAUGAAUGGCACAAUUUGUCCUCUGGAAUUGCAUCUUUCUCUCCACUAAGAAUGAAGUGAAGGCCAGAGAGGUGAAGCUCCAUUCCUAUAACCAGGCUUGCACAUCUUUACACUCUGUAAGUCUGGCUCAGCUACAGAUACUUAUGCACACGAAUAACCUUUUCACAUCAAUAUCCUCCUGAAGACCACAGAGUAACAGUUAACUGAAGAAAAGAAUGUGUAUACAUCUCUAGGGUCAUACCUCAUUCUGUGUCUCUAUUUUUGAAUAUGUUUCCAAUUCAGAGGUUACUGUUAAAAAUUCUUGCACAUCAUAAGGCUUAUGUUCAGGAAAGAGGGUGUCAUCAAUGACUGUGUAUCUCAGGGCAUUAUGUCCUUUCUAAGGAAACAGAAAACUGUGGUGAGUAGCAGCGAAGAAAUUGUCUAGUAUAAAACUGAAACUGAAAUUUAUUUUCAAAGUGGAGAAAAGGGGGUGCCAAGAAGGAACACUUGCCUGAUCCAAACACACUGGCAUCUACUUUGGUGUUUUUAGUUCAGACUGUGAAUCCAAAAUAUAAUCCUGUUUUCAUUGACAGUGAAGAUCUUAACCAGCAUAGAUAUUGGCUUGGAUUGCCCAACCAAAAUCCCAGGAGUUGCUCAUUAAUUCAGCAAGCCACAUUUCCUGUAAGAGAGAAUUACCUGAAGAUAGAUUGACAAUGGUGAUCUGUUUCAGUCUCUUUCAUUACUAGAUGCUUUAGCUAUUGUUUUUCCCUGGGACAAUAGUUUUUAUUACUGCUUAUCCAUAUUUCCAGAAAUAUAGCAAAUCAUGUGCAUCUUGAAAUAAAAUGGAAGCAUGAAAAUGAUACUAAAAAUCAUUCAAAAGUCGUUGAAAAUAAAAUAUUUGUUUGUUUCAGACUUAGAAAAUAUACAGCCAGACAAUAUAAAUUAGGUAAUUUCCUUACCUGUUUCACUCUAACCUAGACAGGUUCAACAAGUUCAGAAACACUGGUGAAAAGGCAAGAUAAGAGGUAGGUAGUCUGGGCUAGCUUGUGUAUGUAUAUUCAUGAGGUGGGAUGACUGUCAGUGAGAUAUUGGUGGGAGUACUGGGUCACUUGCCUGGGUUUUGGAAUGAAAUAUCCAAAGAAAAACCAUCUUGUGUGAUCUUGAAAAUCAAUUCAUUAACAGGAAAGCUGUGUCACAUGGAGUAGUGCAUAUUAUUUCUAUUUGUAAAUAUUUUCAAGAUGCGAAAAUGACAAAGAAGGCCACACAAAUACUGUAAAAAAAGAUAGAAAUAACAGAUCCAGUACUUAUUUAGGAAAGUAAACAAAACAAAACAAAUAAACAUUUCUUUUCUCUUUUGUUUGGUGACACUCCGGCUGCAAAAAUUAGAGUUAUGGCUCUUCUAACUUCCCAGUACAAAAGAAAUACUGUUCUUUGUUCUGUCCGAAUGCCUAGGUUUUCAUGGGUUGGGUUUUCAUGGGUUGGGUUUUCAUGACUCAUUUCUCCUUUACUGCAUCUGGGUGCUGGUACCUGGAGAAAUGAAUAAGAAUGGGUAGAACAUACCCGUCUUGGUUAUCCUGCAAAUCUGAAAGUGUUUUGAUAUUCUGGUCCACACUGAUGGCAUGAGUAGUUUUUCUCUUUUAUCUCUGUCAAGAAUUUUUAGAUUUGAGAUAUCUGCUUUACAAUUCAGGUGGAGCAUGAGAGAGAACCUGGGCUGAAGUUAAAUAUGUCACAUCCAGAACACAGCAUGAAUAAUUUUCCUCUGAUUUACAGUUUGGUGUAACUUGUUAUGAAGAUGUCAGUAGUUUGUCUUUUUCUCCUUUUAAAGUGGUGACACAGUGAAUGACCAGAACAUGCUCUCUGCAUUGAUUAGUAGUAGAAGCUUUAGCAUGACUAGCUCUAAACAGACAUUUGAAAGACGAGAGAGAAGAAUUUUUUAAAAUGGCACAGUGUGAAAAUUUCACUUGUAGGGUCUUUAUAUGGAGCAAAGAGGUUAUCCACCUAAGGACAAAUAUAAAGUGCAAUGAAAGCUCAAUUUAAAAGCAAGACACCUGCAGCUUGCAGCUCAAUAAACUCUUUUUUUUUCUUUUUUUCUUUUUUUUUUUGGGGGGGGGAGGAAAAUUAAUAGUGAAAGAUUGAGACUAAUUUUCAUGUUUUUAACUUCAAUACUCAAGUAUUAUCUGUUCAUCCAAUGUUUUGCUGCAACCUGUGGUUACUGUGUCUACCAUCCACACUAGACGAUGGGAAGAGGACCUGCACAAUAGGAAAUGUUCUUGCUUAACCCCAGGCAACAGCCCUAACUGAGCAUGAUAAUUCAAAAGAAGGAUUGAUCAAAAUGGGAAACUGCAGACCUCUGGUGACAUUGCAAAUGAGGUGAAGGAAACAGCACAAUUAUUUGUGUAGAUAUGGUGGCAUGGCAUCCCCCUGGAAUUCAGGCUGAGACAGGGAGACUUGGGCAACUCCUAGAAGAGACCAGUAAAGCCAGUUGCAGAACAAACUCUGUCUUCCUUUGUAUCUCAUAUUUUUCACCUGAUUUUAAAUAUGCUUUUCUCUCCACUCCUGCUGUAACGGUAAGCAGGAAUUUAUUCUUAGUUCCUAAAACAGAAGCAGGAAAGCAGUGUUAAUAAUUACUUUUACAAAUCUGUAAUGAGAUAAAAAAAACAAGUGCCUUAACCUAGGUAGAGAAGAAUUAUUUGUGGGGCUUUAGCUUUCUUUCAAUUAAGAACAAAAAUCAGAAGGAAUUCCAGUUAGAAAAAAAUGAACUUAAAAUUUUACUACGAUUGAGAAGACUCAAUAUCACAACAGUAAUACUCAGAUUGCCCAGCCUAGUGUGAAUACAGAAACAUGGGAAUAUAGUUUAUGUCUCAGCUGGAAUCAGCUUGCUCAUAUCUAUGAUACUCAAAAUUGUAUGAACUAUAUGAACAUCACUGUUUUGCUUGAUUCCUGUAAGCACAUCAUGCAACUGAGUUCUGGUGAGGAGGAAGCAAUGCUAUUUGCCUUUAUAUUAUGUGAUUUGGGUGGGAGGGCUGUGUUGUUUCUGUUGUUGUUUUUUCUUGGCAUUUGUGUUGAUAUAAUAUAUAUUCGUCAUUUAUAAUAUGCCAGUAAAAAUCUGUUAAAGAUGCUGUCGUUGAGUUACUCAAGUACAAAAAGCUUGCAGAAAUAGUAUUCUCCAAGUUUACUGUAAUUUUCAAGAAGCUUAUAAAAUGUAUAUACAUUUGAAGGGUUAGUUGAGAAAUUUCCCACUAGUCAUUGCUGCUAUAGUUAUGUUGUAUGAACAAAAGGCAACAUGUUUACUGUCUUUGUUUUGCUUUUUCAGGCUCUGUAAUCUGCAGUGAACCAUGCACUGAAUUUCUGCCUCUGGUGAUGUAAUAUUCCUUUUAUCCAUUAUAAUAUACUCUGCAAAAGACAGAAUACAAAUAGCACAAUGAGAAACAUUUACUCAUACUUUUUACUCCAUUUUCUAAUGUAUUUCUUUUCAGGAUAGGAAAACACAGGCUACCAACUAAUGUAUUUUGUUUCUGAUCUGACAGCGAAGAGUGGUAAAGAGACGAGGAAAGGGGUACCUUGUCUGUUUAGUCAGGCAUGUCCACGCUGUGGCUUGCAGGCCACAUUUAGCCCAGCACAGCUCAUGCUGCGGCUGCCCCCUGACUCGUGCCAUCACAGGGUGGCUAUUCUCUGCCUGGCCUGGCCUUCAGCACCAACUGAUCAUCAGUGUGCUCUUAACCCCAUCUGGGCUGAAACCAGGGCACAGAGGGCAGUGCAGUACCAGCUCAGGUUAUUGAAAAUAAGUUUAUGGAUUUUGAUACACUGGCUAAACAUUAGUCCCCUGAUGACAGUGGUUAACCUCCGCUGGUGCAGAUUAUGAUGAGCACGACAUGCAGGCUUUUGUUCACCUUUGGUGAAAAUGCAUAGUUAAUGGUGGUGACUGUGUUGUUCCAUAAGAAGUUGACCUCCAAUGUCUGCUGAAUCCUCCUCCCCAUACAGCAGUAUGAGACUGAGAGGAAGAAUGCAUGGAGUGAUACCCCAGAUGCAGUGUGGGAGUGUUUGCUGAGCUACACCAGACUACACCAGAAAGAGAGGAAAAUUCUCUUUACACUGGAUAACUUAAAACUGCACUGAUUCCAAGAAACUGCAUUGACUCCAAGAACUGAUGAAGGAACUUGACAAGUAUCAUGUAAACGUCUCCUGGCACAGAGAUAUGACUUGGCCUAAGAGAUACCCUUCAUGACUGUUGUCUAAUACCAACAUGUUUUAAAUGGCACCCUUAUGUCUAGCAUUGCUUUUGGCCUUUCUCCUCCUCACAUCCUCAUAGCCUUAGCAAUGUCUAGCUGUGGGUAUUCCUCCAACCCCAUAUCAUCCACUCUUUAAAUUGAAUUGGAAGAUUUGGACGCUUUUCUUUCAUUAAAAUGUAAAACAAACAAAAGAAAAAAAUUGAAACAACAACAACAAAACAAACAAACAAACAAACAAAAAAACCAACCCACAAACAAAACCAAAACAAAACAGAACACAGGUUGAACUAUGACAGCACACACGUCAGUGCAACCCAGGCUCAGGUCUUUCUGGCAGAUACCUGGCAAGGAGUGCGCAAGUAUGACAAUGGUGCAGUGGUAUUCUGCUGUAACACCAUCCUGCCCUUGUGCUGUGCUCUGUAAGGGAUGUAGGCUUUGUGACUGCUUGGCUCAGUGCACAGACAGUGUUUCAUGAUCUUGAAAGUUUUACCAAAUUAACAAUCUUUACUGAAGCAUAGAUGUAGCGGAGCCUCAUCCAACACUAUGAAUAGGAUAAACAUGCUGGGUUACAUUCAUUUUGCACUUCAUAUUUGUAUAUAAAUCUAAAAUAACUCUGUAAAAACAUGAAAAGUAAGUUUGCACAGUGAAGGCAAAAGGAUGCACUGGUCAGGAUGCGCUCACUUUUUAGGCUUUCAGAUGAGGUAUCUUAAAUAGGAGCUUAAUUCCUCCAGGUGCUCUUCUCAAAGGAAAUACAGAUGUCUUCCACAUAAAGGAUCAGCUUUGUAUAGAAAAGGUCACUGAAGUUACUCCAAUUAUGUUUUCUAAGAAUUAUGGUUUAUCUGUCAUUUGCUACAAAUUGUCUCAUUGUCUUCCUGCCUCUGAACACCUCAACUGCUGAAUUUCUUAAAAAAAUAAAUAAAUAAAAUGAAAUUGCACCCAGAGUUAUUUUCUGGUCCUUUUAUAAAAGACUGAAUGGUAAACGCACAGGUUACAUUUCUGUGUUGUCAUCUUUUGGUCUGACUGUUACUCUCCUAUGAGAACUGAUCUCACUCUCUGGUUAAUAACUAACACUUGUAAGGUAUCAAAAACAUCAUUCAUUCACAUUUUUUUCUUAAAUACAGAAUUAAUUUAAUUCACAAUGAACUUUCCUCUUAUUGUAGUAGCUUUCAGUUUUUGUGUAUAUUUUAUACUCCUCAAAUGCCUUAAUAAAAAAUUUUGGUUUGAGCUAGUCAAACAGAUGUCAUAGCAGAAAUAAGCCAUACUGUUUUAUGACCACACAAUGACCUUGACUUUGCCAAUAAACUACUGGCGUGUGAAGGGUAUUGUUUCCUUGUUGGAUAUUGGACCUCUCCUGAAAAUAGGAUAGGUUUGAUUAAUUCAGGUCAAAUUUAUUCUGAGUGUAACCUCACUGAAAUCAGAAGAAUUACAUUAAAGGAGCAGGUUUUGCUGCAUAAGUUUUAUAUUGGCUAGGUAUAGUCUCCCUUCCUUCACUUGGGAGGAUUUCUGAUAUUCAUUAACCUUUCAGAGCAAGUUUUAUACGAACUGCUCAUUUUUGUCUUAGAAGCUGAUUUAAUUUAAUAUUCUCUACAGCAAACAAAGCAAUAGUUCAAUUUCAGAAAAAACCUUAUGUCAUCCCCCAGUGAAUCACUUACAGGUACUUAACAGAAAGCAAUGUAAGAUAGAAAAUACAGAAAAGUGAAAAUGCCUCUGAACGUUCAAGAGGAUAACAAAUUAGUAAAGCAAGUCAGCAUGGCAGAGAUGAAAGCACAGAGAAUUAUUCAUCUAGAUGGUGAACCAGUUUUUUUUACCAACACAGUGCUAAUGACUGAAUGGAGUUGUGCUAGUGUUUCUGGUGUCUUGAGCCAGAGGCUUCACUACAAUUUAAUAAUACACCUUAGCCUUCACAAAGCUUGGCAGUAGUGUUCAAAUAAUGUGUUUAUUUCAUGCACCUGCAAAGUUUGAAUAAAUGUGAAGAUUUUUUUAU
ensembl:lncRNA